CCUACGGGAGGCAGCAGUGGGGAAUAUUGGUCAAUGGAGGACACUCUGAACCAGCACCGCCGCGUGAAUGAUGAAGGUCUUCGGAUUGUAAAGUUCUUUUCUAAGGGAAGAAGCAAGUGACGGUACCUUAGGAAUAAGCCUCGGCUAACUACGUGACAGCAGCCGCGUUAAUACGUAGGAGGCGAGCAUUAUCCGGAAGGACUGGGCGUAAAGGGUGCGUAGGUGGUUUGACAAGUUGGUAGCGUAACUCCGAGGCUCAACCUCGGCACUACUACCAAAACUGUCGGACUUGAGUGCAGGAGGGGGAAUUGGAAUUCGUAGUGUAGCGGUGGAAUGCGCAGAUAUUAGGAGGAACACCGGUGGCGAAGGCGAAUUGCUGGACUGUAACUGACACUGAGGCACGAAAGCGUGGGGAGCAAACAGGAUUAGAUACCCUUGUAGUC
rnacentral:rRNA from 1 species